UUUAAAAAAAUAUUUUUCUGACGUUAUCUGCAAAGUUACAACUGAUUCAAGUUAUACCUUCUGUUGAGUUGCUGCUGUCUUGUUCCAGCCUACGUGGGUGCCAGGUUCCCAAUGUUUUAUUUGGUUUCUGAUCUGGAAAAGAAUUUCCCCUGCAAGUAAACCAAUAUUUUAAAUGCUAUAAGGGUUGCAUAUUGCCUUUGGGGUAAGUGUGCUUUUUUGUUCAGCUACAGAUGAAUGCCUGUGUAUGGGAACUGUUGAGUCAUGGCCUGAACCACUGAUUGAACACCUGGGGAAAGGACCUGGGAGCACAGGUGAAGGCAAUUCACCAGUGUGACCAGAAGGAGUAGAACCUGGCUGCACUUCUCUUAGACCCCAUUUAAGAGCUGACUCUUUCUGGAGAUCCCUUUGUGGUGGGGCUUUCCCCUGCAAACCUGGAAUCGUCUGAUAUGAAGCACUGGUCUUGUGAGGAAGCCAAGAUAUUAUCCUGGAGGCUGCACCUUGUGGUCUGUGAGACCCUGAGAUUUUGGACCUCCUCCUGGUGCCCCUUCUUUCCUAAGGAGCAUAAUCCCAGCAGCUCUGCAGGGGAGAACAAGCAUUGGAAACCAUUGGACUCAUUUGGUGUUGCAGUUGAAGAUGUAGACUAGUUACAAAGAAUCCAAAGAGAAGCAUGGAGUAUAAUAAGAGGUCUCAAGUAAGACCAAGGAGGUAAGAAGAGCUAAUCAGGUGGUGUGGUUCAGCUUUUAGAAGGAAGACUUCAGAUAACACAGGGAUAAUCCUAAA